GGCGACGUCGCCGCGGCCCCUUGCGGGCUGGCGCGGCGUAGACUGGAGCUCCGGGCACUUCUUUAAAAGGGGGAACGGCGCUGUGUUAGGCGGAGUGCGGAGCUAGAAGGGGGCGGUCGGAGCGCGAGCUGUCAACUCUGGCGCCUCCCGGCUCCGCCCCGAGGCUCCGAAGUGACAGGUGGAAUAGCAGCCCGGGCUUCGGACCUCAGGCCUCAGUUUAUUCUGUGGGAGGGGACGGGCUUUCCUGGCAGGACAUAUCAUACAACUAUUCCAUGGUGAAUUAUUCUUAACGAUUCCAGCUCUCUCUCUGCGUCCUUGUGAAAAUGAUCUUGUCUUUAAACCCUGCGUGGCAAUCCUUGAUGCACCGCCGUGAUGCCCAGGGAAGACAGGGCAACCUGGAAGUCCAACUACUUCUU
rnacentral:lncRNA from 1 species